GAUGAACGCUGGCGGCGUGCCUAAUACAUGCAAGUCGAGCGAACAGACGAGGAGCUUGCUCCUCUGACGUUAGCGGCGGACGGGUGAGUAGCACGUGGAUAACCUACCUAUAAGACUGGGAUAACUUCGGGAAACCGGAGCUAAUACUGGAUAAUAUAUUGAACCGCAUGGUUCAAUAGUGAAAGACGGUUUUGCUGUCACUUAUAGAUGGAUCCGCGCCGCAUUAGCUAGUUGGUAAGGUAACGGCUUACCAAGGCAACGAUGCGUAGCUGACCUGAGAGGAUGAUCGGCCACACUGGAACUGAGACACGGUCCAGACUCCUACGGGAGGCAGCAGUAGGGAAUCUUCCGCAAUGGGCGAAAGCUUGACGGAGCAACGCCGCGUGAGUGAUGAAGGUCUUCGGAUCGUAAAGCUCUGUUAUUAGGGAAGAACAAAUGUGUAAGUAACUAUGCACGUCUUGACGGUACCUAAUCAGAAAGCCACGGCUAACUACGUG
rnacentral:rRNA from 1 species